rnacentral:rRNA from 1 species
GGACGAACGCUGGCGGCGUGCCUAACACAUGCAAGUCGAGCGAUGAAGCCCUUCGGGGUGGAUUAGCGGCGGACGGGUGAGUAACACGUGGGUAACCUACCUUAUAGAGGGGGAUAGCCUUCCGAAAGGAAGAUUAAUACCGCAUGAAAUGUUUUUAUCGCAUGGUAGAAACAUCAAAGGAGUAAUCCGCUAUAAGAUGGACCCGCGGCGCAUUAGCUAGUUGGUGAGGUAACGGCCCACCAAGGCGACGAUGCGUAGCCGACCUGAGAGGGUGAUCGGCCACAUUGGAACUGAGACACGGUCCAGACUCCUACGGGAGGCAGCAGUGGGGAAUAUUGCGCAAUGGGGGAAACCCUGACGCAGCAACGCCGCGUGAAUGAAGAAGGCCUUAGGGUUGUAAAGUUCUGUUUUCUGGGACGAUAAUGACGGUACCAGAGGAGGAAGCCACGGCUAACUACG